CAGGGAGACAACAAAAUGUUUAAUAUUAUUAUUUUGUCACCUUAGGUCGAUCGGUAUCUCACGUUUUUAAUUUAUUAAGAAUUUCAUUUCCUAAGUUUUUCUAGGUCACACCCAUUUUUUUUCCUGGGCCAUUAGCUCAGGUGGUUAGAGCGCACCCCUGAUAAGGGUGAGGUCCCUGGUUCAAGUCCAGGAUGGCCCAUAUCUCUAUGUUGGGGGUAUAGCUCAGUUGGUAGAGCGCCUGCUUUGCAAGCAGGAUGUCAGCGGUUCGAGUCCGCUUACCUCCACUGAUUACCACCUCUUCCAUAAUCUGUUGAAAGGAAAAAAUUUUGAGUUGUGAUUAUAUUUCUGAACGAAUCUAGCUUCCUAAUGUAACCAUUAAGAUGCUGGACUCAUUGAAUUAAUUUCAUUGUUUUCAGAGAACCUUGACAACUGCAUAGAUUAUUUUUAAAGACAAUAAGCAUCUUUAAUGAUGCAGAUUUAUUAUUUGUGCGAAUGCAUUAAUAACAAUUCUAUUAAGCUGAUGCUUCAAUUUUGAAGUUAUU
rnacentral:tRNA from 1 species